rnacentral:rRNA from 1 species
AACGAACGCUGGCGGCAGGCCUAACACAUGCAAGUCGAGCGAGGUAGCAAUACCUAGCGGCGGACGGGUGAGUAACGCGUGGGAACGUACCCUUUGCUACGGAAUAGCCCCGGGAAACUGGGAGUAAUACCGUAUGUGCCCUUCGGGGGAAAGAUUUAUCGGCAAAGGAUCGGCCCGCGUUGGAUUAGGUAGUUGGUGGGGUAAUGGCCUACCAAGCCGACGAUCCAUAGCUGGUUUGAGAAGAUGAUCAGCCACACUGGGACUGAGACACGGCCCAGACUCCUACGGGAGGCAGCAGUGGGGAAUCUUAGACAAUGGGCGCAAGCCUGAUCUAGCCAUGCCGCGUGAGUGAUGAAGGCCUUAGGGUUGUAAAGCUCUUUCAGAUGGGAAGAUAAUGACGGUACCAUCAGAAGAAGCCCCGGCUAACUCCGUGCCAGCAGCCGCGGUAAAG